GGGGAAGAUCUGUUAACCCGCUUGCAGGAGAAAUGCUGGGACCAGCAGAUGUGCGCAGCUGGGAGGGAAGCCCCCUCCCUGACCACAGCCCCCAGCAGUGCCCGCCGGGAGCAGGGAGAGAGGGGCGCAGGGCUCCGGAGUGUGGCCUGAUGGCUGUGUGCAAAGACCUUCUCCAGGGCCUGCCAGGCCCCAGGACAGGCCCUGCCCUUGUGGACUCACAGGGGAAGAUGCUGGGUGUAGAUGGGGAGGUGAUUCUCCGAAGGCCACGUGGCCAGCCUGCAGUGGGACAGGCUCCCCAAGUGGCGGAACCCCAGCCUGAGACUUCUCAAUCACUCUGUGCUGCUUCUGUGGCGGAGGCCGGCGGGCUUCGUAAACAAUGAUGCUUGCGUGGAAGUUGAUCUAUGAUUUAAAGAAAGAAGAACAUAAGGAGCUGUGAAAUAAGAAAAAACAAUGGGAGACAGAGUGAGAAUGUGAAAGAAACCCAAUUCCCCUAAAUGCAGUUCAGGAACAUCUAACCCAGCAACACGAGGGCCAUCGUGAGUGAUUUCCGAGGGUCGGAGGACAGAGUUGGGGGGGAAUCUCUGCUUUAGGGAGAGAUAUCUUAUUGUGGGGCUUAGAACCUGAGUGACCAAAAAGAAAUGUGAGAGAACUUUACGAUUUGAAUGGGAGAGGAAAAACACAGCCAUGAAGAUAGACGAUUUCUUUGUGGAAAUUUCUCCCACCCCAGGCAGGCCACACGCUCGCCUUGGACAGCACAGACCCCAGCGCGACAGGGAGAACUGGCCCUGCGCAGUGGCAUCUCCCCCUCCAGGUCCGGCAGCUGCAUAUGUGGAGCUGGCUUACCUGCUGCUCGUCCUCACUGAGCGAGGACAGGAGAGAGGGACUUGGUGCUUCCCGCCUGAAUGAGGAAGAGGAGUUCUUUCCAGGCAGCCACACGGCCCAGGACACCUGCAGCCGCACGCACCAGAAAAAGCAGCCCCCUUUUCCCUGUGGCACCCAGCCUGCUCUGGGGAGACCCGUUAAGGAGCCAGCAGGGCUGCACCUGCCUCCUACCCGCACCCCAGGCGCUCUGGGCCUGAUCGACUGCGGGGCCCUGCCUUCCCCAGGCCAACUCUAGGGUUUUGUUCCUCUAAAAAGGAAACAAUAAGAUAUGUAUUGAACCCCAACUACAGGAGCAUAAAGAUGAGAUGUGGACAAACAGUGCGGCCCACACACCCCUCAGCAUCAGUUUCCUGGGGCGGCAGUAACAAAGUACCACAAAUGAGUGGCUUAAAGCAACAGAAAGUUGUUCUUUCACAGUUCUGAGGCUGGAAGUCUGAAAUCAAGGUGUUGGCAGGGCC
rnacentral:lncRNA from 1 species